rnacentral:lncRNA from 1 species
ACAAACCGCGCGAAAGUGUUCCUGGAAAUCUCAGCCCAAAAAAGGACGUUUAGUAAUUCUAAAAGGGACUACAGGAUGAAAAACAAUACUUUUGGCAGUUAAAGUUUGAGAUUCGACGGUGCCGUAGAUCUGUUUGGUCAUCAGGUGUAACGAGCCACACCCAUGUCUAGCUAGAGUAGUGUGCUAGGCUCAGACUAGAGAAGAAACGGGGAACAAAGUGAUGAAAGAAUGAUCAUACCGAGGGAAUUCACUCAGAACUAACAAGAAUGAUAACGUGCUCCGACUGGAGCGGUUUAGGAACUGCUGGAAGGCUCUAGGGAAAUAAAGAUGGAAUGACUUCUAAUUUUUAGGUCCAUAUCAUUUGAAAUACGUGCACACAAACCCCGAGAAAGCGUUCCUGGAAAUCUCGGCCGAAAAAAGGAUGUUUAAUAAUUCUAAAAGGGACUACAGGAUGAAAAACAAUAGUUUUGGCAGUUAAAGUUUGAGAUUUGACGGUGCCGUAGAUCUGUUUGGUCAUCAGGGGUUACGAGCCACACCCAUGUCUAGCUAGAAUAGUGUGUUAGGCUCAGGCUAGAGAAGAAACGGGGAACAAAUUGAUGAAAGAAUGAUCAUACCGAGGGAAUUCACUCAGAACUAACAAGAAUGAUAACGUGCUCCGACUGGAGCAGUUUGGAAACUGUUGGUAGGCUCUAGGGGAAUAAAGAUGGAAUCACUUCUAAUUUUUAGGUCCGUAUGAUUUGAAAUACAUGCACACAAACCCCAAGAAAGCGUUCCUGGAAAUCUCGCCCCGAAAAACGACGUUUAGUAAUUCUAAAAGGGACUACAGGAUGAAAAACAAUACUUUUGGCAGUUAAAGUUUGAGAUUCGACGGUGCCGUAGAUCUGUUUGGUCAUCAGGUGUAACGAGCCACACCCAUGUCUAGCUAGAGUAGUGUGCUAGGCUCAGACUAGAGAAGAAACGGGGAACAAAGUGAUGAAAGAAUGAUCAUACCGAGGGAAUUCACUCAGAACUAACAAGAAUGAUAACAUGCUCCGACUGGAGCGGUUUAGGAAGUGCUGGAAGGCUCUAGGGAAAUAAAGAUGGAAUGACUUCUAAUUUUUAGGUCCAUAUCAUUUGAAAUACGUGCACACAAACCCCGAGAAAGCGUUCCUGGAAAUCUCGGCCGAAAAAAGGAUGUUUAAUAAUUCUAAAAGGGACUACAGGAUGAAAAACAAUAGUUUUGGCAGUUAAAGUUUGUGAUUCGAUGGUGCCGUAGAUCUGUUUGGUCAUCAGGUGUUACGAGCCACACCCAUGUCUAGCUAGAACAGUGUGUUAGGCUCAGGCUAGAGCAGAAACGGGGAACAAACUUAUGAAAGAAUGAUCAUACCGAGGGAAUUCACUCAGAACUAACAAGAAUGAUAACGUGCUCCAACUGGAGCGGUUUAGGAACUGCUGGAAGGCUCUAGGGGAAUAAAGAUGGAAUGACUUCAAAUUUUUAGGUCCGUAUGAUUUGAAAUACUUGCACACAAACCGCUAGAAAGCGUUCCUGGAAAUCUCAGCCCAAAAAAGGACGUUUAGUAAUUCUAAAAGGGACUACAGGAUGAAAAACAAUAGUUCUGGCAGUUAAAGUUUGAGCUUCGAUAAUGUCGUAGAUCCGUUUGGUCAUCAGGUGUAACGAGCCACACCCAUUUCUAGCUAGAGUAGUGUGCUAGGCUCAGACUAGAGAAGAAAUGGGCAACAAACUAAUGAAAGAAUGAUCAUACCGAGGGAAUUCACUCAGAACUAACAAGAAUGAUAACGUGCUCCGACUGGAGCGGUUUAGGAACUGCUGGAAGGCUCUAGGGGAAUAAAGAAGGAAUGACUUCUAAUUUUUAGGUCCGUAUGAUUUGAAAUGUGUGCACACAAACCCCGAGAAAGCAUUCCUGGAAAUCUCGGCCCAAAAAAGGACGUUUAGUAAUUCUAAAAGGGACUACAGGAUGAAAAACAAUAGUUUUGGCAGUUAAAGUUUGAGAUUCGAUAAUGCCGUAGAUCCGUUUGGUCAUCAGGUGUAACGAGCCACACCCAUGUCUGGUUAGAGUAGUGUGCUAGGCUCAGACUAGAUAAGAAACGGGGAACAAACUGAUGAAAGAAUGAUCAUACCGAGCGAAUUCACUCAGAACUAACAAGAAUGAUAACAUGCUCCGACUGGAGCGGUUUAGGAACUGCUGGAAGGCUCUAGGGGAAUAAAGAUGGAAUGACUUCUAAUUUUUAGGUCCGUAUGAUUUGAAAUACUUGCACACAAACCACGCGAAAGCGUUCCUGGAAAUCUCAGCCCAAAAAAGGACGUUUAGUAAUUCUAAAAGGGACUACAGGAUGAAAAACAAUAGUUUUGGCAGUUAAAGUUUGAGAUUCGACAGUGCCGUAGAUCCGUUUGGUCAUCAGGUAUUACGAGCCACACCCAUGUCUAGCUAGAAUAGUGUGCUAGGCUCAGGCUAGAGAAGAAACGGGGAACAAACUGAUGAAAGAAUGAUCAAACCGAGGGAAUUCACUCAGAACUAACAAUAAUGAUAACGUGCUCCGACUGGUGCGGUUUAGGAACUGCUGGAAGGCUCUAGGGGAAUAAAGAUGGAAUGACUUCUAAUUUUUAGGUCCGUAUGAUUUGAAAUACUUGCACACAAACCGCGCGAAAGCGUUCCUGGAAAUCUCAGCCCAAAAAAGGACGUUUAGUAAUUUUAAAAGGGACUAUAGGAUGAAAAACAAUAGUUUUGGCAAUUAAAGUUUGAGAUUCGACGGUGUCGUAGAUCCGUUUGGUCAUCAGGUGUUACGAGCCACACCCAUGUCUAGCUAGAAUAGUAUGUCAGGCUCAGGUUAGAGUAGAAACGGGGAACAAACUGAUGAAAGAAUGAUCAUACCAAGGGAAUUCACUCAGAACUAUCAAGAAUGAUAACGUGCUCCGACUGGAGUGAUUUAGGAACUGCUGGAAGGCUCUAGGGGAAUAAAGAUGGAAUGACUUCUAAUUUUUACGUCCGUAUGAUUUGAAAUACUUGCACACAAAUCACGCAAAAGCGUUCCUGGAAAUCUCAGCCUAAAAAAGGACGUUUAGUAAUUCUAAAAGGGACUACAGGAUGAAAAACAAUAGUUUGGGCAGUUAAAAUUUGAGAUUCGACGGUGCCGUAGAUCCGUUUGGUCAUCAGGUGUUACGAGCGACACCCUUGUCUAGCUAGAAUAGUGUGUUAGGCUCAGACUAGAGAAGAAACGGGGAACAAAGUGAUGAAAGAAUGAUCAUACCGAGGGAAUUCACUCAGAACUAACAAGAAUGAUAACGUGCUCCGACUGGAGCGGUUUAGUAACUGCUGGAAGGCUCUAGGGGAAUGAAGAUGGAAUGACUUCUAAUUUUUAGGUCCGUAUGAUUUGAAAUACAUGCACACAAACCCUGAGAAAGCGUUCCUGGAAAUCUCGGUCGAAAAAAGGAUGUUUAAUAAUUCUAAAAGGGACUACCGGAUGAAAAACAAUAGUUUUGGCAGUUAAAGUUUGUGAUUCGAUGGUGCCGUAGAUCUGUUUGGUCAUCAGGUGUUACGAGCCACACCCAUGUCUAUCUAGAAUAGUGUGUUAGGCUCAGGCUAGAGCAGAAACGGGGAACAGACUUAUGAAAGAAUGAUCAUACCGAGGGAAUUCACUCAGAACUAACAAGAAUGAUAACGUGCUCCGACUGGCGCGGUUUAGGAACUGCUGGAAGGCUCUAGGGGAAUAAAGAUGGAAAGACUUCUAAUUUUUAGGUCCGUAUGAUUUGAAAUACUUGCACACAAACCGCACGAAAGCGUUCCUGGAAAUCUCAGCCUAAAAAGGAUGUUUAGUAAUUCUAAAAGGGACUACAAGAUGAAAAAUAAUAGUUUGGGCAGUUAAAAUUUGAGAUUCGACGAUGCCGUAGAUCCGUUUGGUCAUCAGGUGUUAUGAGCCACACCCAUGUCUAGCUAGAAUAGUGUGUUAGGCUCAGGCUAGAGAAGAAACGGGGAACAAACUGAUGAAAGAAUGAUCAUACCGAGGGAAUUCACUCAGAACUAACAAGAAUGAUAACGUGCUCCGACUGGAGCAGUUUAGAAACUGCUGGAAGGCUCUAAUGGAAUAAAGAUGGAAUGCCUUCAAAUUUCUAGGUCCGUAUGAUUUGAAAUACUUGCACACAAACCGCUCGAAAGCGUUCCUGGAAAUCUCAGCCCAAAAAAGGACGUUUAGUAAUUCUAAAAGGGACUACAGGAUGAAAAACAAUAGUUUUGGCAGUUAAAGUUUGAGAUUCGAUGGUGCCGUAGAUCCGUUUGGUCAUCAGGUGUAACGAGCCACACACAUGUCUAGCUAGAGUAGUGUGCUAGGCUCAGACUAGAGAAGAAACGGGGAACAAAGUGAUGAAAGAAUGAUCAUACCGAGGGAAUUCACUCAGAACUUACAAGAAUGAUAACGUGCUCCGACUGGAGCGCUUUAGUAACUGCUGGAAGGCUCUAGGCGAAUAAAGAUGGAAUGACUUCUAAUUUUUAGGUCCGUAUGAUUUGAAAUACUUGCACACAAACCACGCAAAACCGUUCCUAGAAAUCUCGGUCGAAAAAAGGACGUUUAGUAAUUCUAAAAGGGACUACAGGAUGAAAAACAAUAGUUUUGGCAGUUAAAGUUUGAGAUUCGAUGGUGCCGUAGAUCCGUUUGGUCAUCAGGUGUUACGAGCCACACCCAUGUCUAGCUAGAGUAGUGUGCUAGGUUCAGACUAGAGAAGAAACGGGGAACAAA